GCUGGGCAUGGUGAUGCAUGCCUGUAAUCCCAGCUACUCAGGAGGCUGAGGCAGGAGAAUUGCUUGAACCUGGGAGCUGGAGGUUGCAGUGAGCUGAGGUCACUCCAGCCUGGGCAACAGAGUGAGAGUCCGUCUCAAUNNNNNNNNNNAUUGAGACGGACUCUCACUCUGUUGCCCAGGCUGGAGUGACCUCAGCUCACUGCAACCUCCAGCUCCCAGGUUCAAGCAAUUCUCCUGUCUCAG
rnacentral:SRP_RNA from 1 species